UAAAGCGUAAAAGAGCGUAGAGUGAAUGCCUUGGCAUUGGGAGCCGACGAAGGACGUGGUUAACUGCGAAAAGCUACGGGGAGUCGUAAGCAGACAUUGAUCCGUAGAUGUCCGAAUGGAGCAAUCCGCAUGGAGUUAGUCUAUGCAUCCAUAAGUGAAUUCAUAGCUUAUGGAGGGGAACCGCCUGAACUGAAACAUCUAAGUAGGGCGAGGAAGAGAAAUCAAACGAGAUUUCGUAAGUAGUGGCGAGCGAACGCGAAAGAGGCUAAACCAAGAGAAGAAAUUCUUUUGGGGUUACGGACUGCGAUAUGUAUCUGAGGACUUAGCAGAAUGGUAUGGGAAAGCCAACCAGAGAAUGUGAUAGUCAUGUAUGCGAAAAGGAAUCAGAGCUAGAAGGAUCCAAAGUACCGCGGGACACGAGGAAUCCCGUGGGAAGUCGGGGGGACCACCCUCCAAGCCUAAAUACUACCCAAUGACCGAUAGCGAAAAGUACUGUGAAGGAACGGUGAAAAGAACCCCGGGAGGGGAGUGAAAAGAACCUGAAACUCUAUGCUUACAAGCACAUAGAGCACGUCAAAGUGUGAUAUGGUACCUUUUGUAGAAUGGUCCGGCGAGUUAUUGUAUGCAGCAAGGUUAAGGUCUUCAGGACUGAAGCCGAAGCGAGAGCGAGUCUGACAAGGGCGAUAAGUUGCAUGCAAUAGACCCGAAACCGGGUGACCUAGCCAUGUUCAGGUUGAAGUGGAGGUAAAGCUCCAUGGAGGACCGAACCGACCUCCGUUGAAAAGGCGGCGGAUGAAAUGUGGCUAGCGGAGAAAUUCCAAUCGAACCCGGAAAUAGCUGGUUCUCCCCGAAAUAGCUUUAGGGCUAGCGUUGUAUUAGAUUUCUGGGGGUAAAGCACUGAAUAGGCUAGGGGCCGAGAGGUUACUGAACCUUAUCAAACUAAGAAUACCAGAAAAUUGAUGUACAGCAGUCAGACUAUGUGAGAUAAGUCUCAUAGUCAAAAGGGAAACAGCCCAGACCCACAGCUAAGGUCCCAAAACAGAUUUAAGUGGAAAAGGAUGUGGGAUUGCCCAGACAACCAGGAUGUUGGCUUAGAAGCAGCCACACAUUAAAAGAGUGCGUAAUAGCUCACUGGUCGAGUGAUCCUGCGCCGAAAAUUCAACGGGGCUAAAAUUUGUACCGAAGCUUGGGCUUGAUACAUUCGUAUCAGGGGUAGGGGAGCGUCAUGUAUGAGGUGAAGUCAUAGCGGAAGCGGUGGUGGAUUGUACAUGAGAGAGAAUGCCGGAAUGAGUAGCGAGAAUUAUGUGAGAAUCAUAAUGGCCGAAAAUCUAAGGUUUCCUGAGGAAGGUUCGUCCGCUCAGGGUAAGCCGGGAGCUAAGGUGAGGCGGAAACGCGUAGCCGAUGCACAUACGGUAGAGAUUCCGUAGCCUCCGAAAAGUAAAGCACAGGGACGCUUCAGAAGUGUUACGCCGGGCGAUGGUUGCCCCGGUUGUAAAGGACACAAUUGAGUGGAAGGUAACAUGGAUGGAGACAAGAAAAGCUGUGUGUAUCUGGAAGGAGCCCGUACCGCAAACCGACACAGGUAGAUAGGAAGAAGAUUCUAAGGCCAGCGGGAGAAGGGUUGUUAAGGAACUCGGCAAGUUGACCCCGUAACUUCGGGAGAAGGGGUGCUUACGAAGGUAAGCCGCAGAGAAUAGGCCCAAGCGACUGUUUAGCAAAAACACAGCUCUAUGCUAAAUCGAAAGAUGACGUAUAUGGGGUGACACCUGCCCGGUGCUGGAAGGUUAAGAGGAGAUGUGAGAGCAUUGAAUUGAAGCCCCAGUAAACGGCGGCCGUAACUAUAACGGUCCUAAGGUAGCGAAAUUCCUUGUCAGGUAAGUUCUGACCCGCACGAAUGGUGUAACGAUUUGGGCACUGUCUCAACAACCUACCCGGCGAAAUUGUAGUACCGGUGAAGAUGCCGGUUACCCGCGACUAGACGGAAAGACCCCAUGGAGCUUCACUGUAGCUUAAUAUUGAAUUUUGGUAUUUCAUGUACAGGAUAGGUGGGAGACUGGGAAAUACAGGCGUCAGCUUGUAUGGAGUCACUGUUGGGAUACCACUCUUGAGGUGCUGAAAUUCUAACCUGCGUCUUUGAAUCAAGACGGGGGACAUUGUUAGGUGGGCAGUUUGACUGGGGCGGUCGCCUCCAAAAGAGUAACGGAGGCGCUCAA
rnacentral:rRNA from 1 species